GAUGAUGAAAAUUGGGCUGAAUGUUAUUUAGAAUUUGAAAUCAUAAAAAUUCGGUGAGCACACCUUACAGUGCAUCUCGUUAUUGCGAGACAGAGCGAUAGGGAAAUUCCCUAUAAUUGAGGUGGUACCGCGCAUCGACGUCCUCACACAAGUUUUUUGUGUGAGGACUUUUUUAAU
rnacentral:misc_RNA from 1 species